AGUGAACGCUGGCGGUAUGCCUAACACAUGCAAGUCGAACGGCAGCACAGUAAGAGCUUGCUCUUACGGGUGGCGGGUGGCGGACGGGUGAGGAAUACAUCGGAAUCUACUUUUUCGUGGGGGAUAACGUAGGGAAACUUACGCUAAUACCGCAUACGACCUACGGGUGAAAGCAGGGGAUAUUCGGACCUUGCGCGAUUGAAUGAGACGAUGUCGGAUUAGCUAGUUGGCGGGGUAAAGGCCCACCAAGGCGACGAUCCGUAGCUGGUCUGAGAGGAUGAUCAGCCACACUGGAACUGAGACACGGUCCAGACUCCUACGGGAGGCAGCAGUGGGGAAUAUUGGACAAUGGGCGCAAGCCUGAUCCAGCAAUACCGCGUGGGUGAAGAAGGUCUUCGGGUUGUAAAGCCCUUUUGUUGGGAAAGAAAAGCAGCAGAUUGAUACCCCGCUGUUCUGACGGUACCCAAUGAAUAAGCACCGGCUAACUACGUG
rnacentral:rRNA from 1 species